UUUUUUUUUUUUUCCUGGCAACUCUGGUCAAAUAGCCUCAAGGAUCUGUAUUGGUGGCAGAUCUAUUUACCAUCCUUCUAUUAAGUAAAAGAAAAGCAGUUCUUUACCUACCCAACCUCACGUCUGCCCAUUUCUCUCUUUACCCACUAACUUCCUCCCAAACUAGGUUUACAGUUUGGAGAAAGCCUGCACUUUUUCUUAUCUCUUACACAUACAGUUUCUUUCUGUCGUUGUUAUUCUUGGAUUUUUUUUGGGGGGGAGUGGAUAGUCAGUGGCUGCACCUGCAGCAUAUGAAAGUUUCCAGGCCAAGGGCUGACUCCAAGCUGCAGCUGUGACUAUACCACAGCUGCAGCAAGGCCGGAUCCUUUAACCCACUGCACCAGGCCAGGGAUGAAACCCCAGCCUCUGCACCAACCUGAGCCUCUGUAGUCAGUUUCUUAACCCACUGUGCCAUAGCGGGAACUCCAUACACAUACAGUUUUAUCUGCCCUGGGACUCUCCCUUCCCUGUCAUCCCCAUAAAUUCCAAAAUGACAGAGUAAUAUCUUGUUCCCUGCAAAAGGCUCUUAAUAAAUAUUUACAGAGUGGAGUAAAAUUUAGUUGGUCAAUGGGCUAGCACCUUCAAAAACGUGCUUCAAAUGCUAAUGUUACACCCCGCUAUUUCAAAUUAGGGUUAAUGAAUUACAAAAGACAGCUCUAAAACAACAAAGUCUUCUGGAAAUGGUUACGGACUAUAACUGCAUCUUGGCAGUUUGAAGUGCUCACUCUAAAAACCUGGGAAUCCAGGGAGUUCCCCUUGUGGAUCAGCAGGUUAAGAACCCAACUAGUAUCCACGAGGAUGCAGGUUUGAUCCCUGGCCUCGCUCAGUGGGUUAAGGGUCCAGUGUUGCUGUCACAGACGCUGUGGCACACGUUGCAGAUGCGGCUCAGAUCUGGCAUUGCUGAGGCUGUAGUGCAGGUAGACAGCUGCAACUCCAGUUCAACCUGUAGCCUGCGACCUUCCACAUGCUGCAGGUGCAGCCCUAGAAAAGAAAAAGAAAAAAGAAUCUGGGAAUCCAAAAGACCUGGAUAUAAUGUAGCAGUUGCUUAUAAAAAGGCAUAAGAAAGGAAGGAAGGGGGAAAAAAGAGUAUGUGCCUUGUUUUCUUUUCAUAUAAACAUAAAUAUAUUUAAAUUCUGCAUAAUUUUUUAAACUCUGGACAUAACGGCAUGUGUGCGAGAGGAACACUGAUGUUUUCACAAGUCUUUACCUUCUGGUUAACAGUGUUCAAAAUGGUGGAGUCAGACUCAUAUUUAAACACAGGGGCCGUAAUUUGGCCUGGUUUCCUAUUGUUAUUUUCUACAUUCAAGACAAUCAAUCAAAAAAUACAAUAAAAAAAUCUGAUGAGAGGGCAAGAAAUAACCUUUCCUGACGACGUCUAGGCCACCUAUGAUUUGUUUCCUGAAAUUGAGGUCCUAAGUGACAGCUCCGUUUUUGACCUUGUAUUCAUUCAAGGUUUUAUGUCUGCACUUGUAAUGAGCUGCCAGCCUUGCUCUUGGUCUGUUCCGGUGUGUGCAUGUCAUUAUCUCUUUCCUGUGUCUUUUCUCCCUUUUCAGUCUAUGAUUUGCUAGGGCUUGUUCUUUUAAACCACUCUGUUGUUACCUGACACAUAUAGCUUUUUUUCUAGGUAUUUUUCCUUCUCCGCAAAGCUACUUGCCACCAGCUGGCGAAGAUGUCACUGGAAAUAUAUGGGCUUGUUUUCUCCUCCAAUAUGGAGAAGAAUAUUUACAGCCCGAUCCACUAAAUACAUUCAGGAAAAAAAAAAAAAAUCUUUACUUAAAAAAGAAAAGUAUGCAUAUACACAUUCUUUUUCUCAUAGUAUAUAUUUACAAAUGGGUCACUUUGCCGUACAGCAGAAAUUGGCACAUUGUAAAUCAACUAUACUUCAAAAAAUAAAAUAAAAAAGAAUAUAUUCUGCAGGAUUUCAGUUAUUUAAAAAAAAAGAGUAUGAAAAUGUUCUGUAAAUUACCAGGAGGUUUUCCAAACUAGCAAAUAUAGAGACCAUUUCUAUAGAGAGUGAAAUUACUCCCCAUUUGUUCACAAAGACAGGCAAUGGAACGUUCCUGUCUUAAUCAUCCACUUUUUAUUUAUAUUACAUAUAUAAAUAAAUUUUAUAAAUUUGUUUAUUAUUAAACUAUUAAUUCAAUUUUAAAUUAAUCUUAAAUUAUUUAUUUAAAUCAAUUUUUAAAUUGUUUAAAUAAAUUUAAAUAUUUAUACUGGAGCAUAGUUGAGUUAGAAAGUUGUUAGUUUCAGGUAUAGAGCAAAGUAACUCAGUUAUACAUAUAUGUCUAUCCGUAUCUUUUGAUUAUUGUCCCAGAGAGGUUGUUACACAGUAUUGAGUAGAUUACCCUGAGCUAUACAGUAGGUCUAAUAGGACUAAUUUUAAAAAUAUAAGUUCAAAACAGGACUGAACGUCCCUUGAUCUGUCUCUGUAAUCGAGAAGUCAUUCAAUUAUCCUGAAUUCUCUCAGGCAAUUAUUAUGAACAGCAAUAGUCCUUGCACUGAAAUAUGCAAUGCACUAUUUUAAUUGGGGCUUUCUGCUUUUUAAAACCUGAACAAAUGGGAGUUGACUGAAAUAUAAUCUUAUUACUUACCACUUAUCACCCAGAUUAGAUUGCAAUAGCUUCCUAAUCAAUUUAGGCAACUUCGGUCUUUUCACUCUACCUGCCUUCUCUAAAUACUUUUAUCAUGUUAUCUCCUGAGUCCAAAACUUCCAGUGGUCCCCCAGUGACUAUCACAUCAGUCCUAUCUGCUCUGUCUUGUUUUCAAGAGCUUCUAAGACUAAGUCUCCUAUUUCACAGCCUUAAUGCCCAACCCACCCCAAAUUGUAGUUAAGUUUGUUACUGUAUCCCAGUUACAUGUUUUCUAAUAUUGCUCACUGCAAUUUCUUGCAAGCUAAGGAGACUCCCCUAACAGCUCCCUUCUCUCUACAUUAUUACUUCUUAAAAACAAAACAAAAACACGCCAAACAGCGCCCCUUCCCCCCACCCCAGCACCAAACACAUAAAUGAAAGAAACGAGGGAAAACCACUCUGCUUCAUCUAUUAGAUGCAAGACGCGAUUCUAGGCCUUUGCAAGCCUGUGAAAUAAUUAGAAUACGUCAAGUGUUUUGCACAGCUCUGGGCAUAAUAAGGACUCAGUACAUGUUUGCUAUUAUUUUGUUUAUAAUCCCAACAAACUUGUAAGGAGAUGCAGAUGAGGGAAGCAGAACUCCAAAGGAGUAUGGGAUUGUCCAGGCUGGCAGGAGCACAGUUCUAGGCUUGCCCUAGCAGUGACAGAAACACAACUCAAAGGGGUUUAAAUAAAAAGGAAUUUUUCAACUUCGGAUAACAAAGAGUUCCGAAUCAUCAGAACUCCAGGACUGGUUGGUUCUGUGGCUCAAUGGCAACACCCAGGACUAGGGACUGUCAUCUCUCCCCUCUGCCUUUUGCAGCAAGAUAGCUGAAUCUUCAGGCUUCUCCCUCCUACAAACCUAAUCAACCCAUAGCCUCUCUAGCCCGAGCUUCAGACAGAGCAACAUUCAAAAGAAUAGGAACGAGACUUCUCAGCCUUGAAAAAAAGCUUUCCCCAGAGACCACCCCACCACCAACCCGUGUGCGGAGAAGGAGAAACACAGGAACAAAAGCAGGGUUCUGUUAGGAAGGAGGCAGAGGAGAAAAGUGAACAGACGAUGGGGAGAAACGUCAGCAGGGCUGGCUGUGGCUACGGCACCUGAAAGUGGCAACUAUUAAGCUACUAUUAGUUGGCUAAUUGGACACAAAAACAUCUAUGGUUAUUAGAAAGGGAGAGAGAAGAGGGCAGAGAAGGAAAGGGAGGGAGGAGGGAGAGAAGGGAGGGAGAGACGGAAGGGAGAACGAGGAGGGGAGGGAGAAAAAAUGAAGGAAACAAGGAAAGCGAUGAGGAAGCCAAAGGCAGGAAGGUCGGCUUGGGUCUUUUUAACUGUUGUGUGUGCCACUCCCUCGGGCUAUGAAAGGAGUUUUUGAAAAUCAGAGCUCUGUGGGAGGCUCUGCGUAUACCAGACAGGCUUUUAGGGAUGAAAGUGAUUUGAAUCCCAGUGGGGAGCUGAUGGUAACCCAUUCAAGAGAGCAGACCAUCGGGAGCUAAUGAGGCUGUCAGGUCUCUGAGUCAAACCAAGGCACGGAGGCAUCAAAAUGAUUCAGCGGGAGGCAUAACUAACAAAACAAUGAUUUCUUCAUAACAAAGCUACAAAGGAGGAGGAUGUGUAACUC
rnacentral:lncRNA from 1 species